GACGAACGCUGGCGGCGUGCCUAAUACAUGCAAGUAGAACGCUGAAGGAGGAGCUUGCUUCUCUGGAUGAGUUGCGAACGGGUGAGUAACGCGUAGGUAACCUGCCUGGUAGCGGGGGAUAACUAUUGGAAACGAUAGCUAAUACCGCAUAAUAUUGACUAUUGCAUGAUAGUCAGUUGAAAGGUGCAACUGCACCACUACCAGAUGGCCGUGCGUUGUAUUAGCUAGUUGGUGGGGUAACGGCUCACCAAGGCGACGAUACAUAGCCGACCUGAGAGGGUGAUCGGCCACACUGGGACUGAGACACGGCCCAGACUCCUACGGGAGGCAGCAGUAGGGAAUCUUCGGCAAUGGACGGAAGUCUGACCGAGCAACGCCGCGUGAGUGAAGAAGGUUUUCGGAUCGUAAAGCUCUGUUGUAAGAGAAGAACGAGUGUGAGAGUGGAAAGCUCACACUGUGACGGUAUCUUACCAGAAAGGGACGGCUAACUACGUG
rnacentral:rRNA from 1 species